rnacentral:rRNA from 1 species
GAUGAACGCUGGCGGCGCGCUUAAUACAUGCAAGUCGAACGACCUUCGGGUAAGUGGCAAACGGGUGAGUAAUGCAUAGGUAAUCUGCCCUUAAGACCGGGAUAACACUUUGAAAAGGGUGCUAAUACCGGAUACGCUUUUUUGAUCACAUGAUCUUAAAGGAAAUGAUUUUUCGCUUAAGGAGGAGCCUACGUCUGAUUAGUUUGUUGGUGGGGUAACGGCCUACCAAGACUACGAUCAGUAACUGGUCUGAGAGGAUGAUCAGUCACACUGGAACUGAGACACGGUCCAGACUCCUACGGGAGGCAGCAGUAGGGAAUAUUGCGCAAUGGGGAAACCCUGACGCAGCGACGCCGCGUGGGUGAAGUAAGUUUUCGGAAUGUAAAGCCUAGUCAAGAGGGAAGAUUAUGACGGUACCUCUAGAGGAAGCCCCGGCUAAUUACGUG